UACGAAGGGGGCUAGCGUUGUUCGGAAUCACUGGGCGUAAAGCGCACGUAGGCGGAUUGUUAAGUCAGGGGUGAAAUCCUGGAGCUCAACUCCAGAACUGCCUUUGAUACUGGCGAUCUUGAGUUCGGGAGAGGUGAGUGGAACUGCGAGUGUGGAGGUGAAAUUCGUAGAUAUUCGCAAGAACACCAGUGGCGAAGGCGGCUCACUGGCCCGAUACUGACGCUGAGGUGCGAAAGCGUGGGGAGCAAACAGG
rnacentral:rRNA from 1 species